rnacentral:rRNA from 16 species
GCGAUCCCAGGUCAGGCGGGACUACCCGCUGAGUUU